UACGUAGGGUGCAAGCGUUAUCCGGAAUCACUGGGCGUAAAGCGUGCGUAGGUGGCGCGUUAAGUGAGAUGUUAAAUCGUGUGGCUCAACCAUAUCGAUGCAUCUCAUACUGGCGUGCUAGAGGCGGCAGAGGCAAGUGGAAUUGGUAGUGUAGCAGUGAAAUGCGUAGAUAUGCGGAGGAACACCGAUGGCGAAGGCAAUCCCCUGGGCCUGUACUGACGCUCAUGCACGAAAGCGUAGGGGAGCAA
rnacentral:rRNA from 1 species